rnacentral:tRNA from 1 species
GCACCGGUAGAUCAAUGGUAGAUUUCCUGCCUUCCAAGCAGGCUACACGGGUUCGAUUCCCGUUCGGUGCUCCA